rnacentral:rRNA from 1 species
GACGAACGCUGGCGGCGUGCUUAACACAUGCAAGUCGAACGAAGAGCGAUGGAAGCUUGCUUCUAUCAAUCUUAGUGGCGAACGGGUGAGUAACGCGUAAUCAACCUGCCCUUCAGAGGGGGACAACAGUUGGAAACGACUGCUAAUACCGCAUACGAUCUAAUCUCGGCAUCGAGGAUAGAUGAAAGGUGGCCUCUACAUGUAAGCUAUCACUGAAGGAGGGGAUUGCGUCUGAUUAGCUAGUUGGAGGGGUAACGGCCCACCAAGGCGAUGAUCAGUAGCCGGUCUGAGAGGAUGAACGGCCACAUUGGGACUGAGACACGGCCCAGACUCCUACGGGAGGCAGCAGUGGGGAAUCUUCCGCAAUGGACGAAAGUCUGACGGAGCAACGCCGCGUGAGUGAUGACGGCCUUCGGGUUGUAAAGCUCUGUUAAUCGGGACGAAAGGCCUUCUUGCGAAUAGUGAGAAGGAUUGACGGUACCGGAAUAGAAAGCCACGGCUAACUACGUG